AUACAGAGGGUGCGAGCGUUAAUCGGAAUUACUGGGCGUAAAGCGCGCGGAGGCGGCUUGGUCAGUCGGAUGUGAAAGCCCCGGGCUCAACCUGGGAAUGGCAUUCGAUACUGCCAGGCUAGAGUAUGGGAGAGGGAAGUGGAAUUUCCGGUGUAGCGGUGAAAUGCGUAGAUAUCGGAAGGAACACCAGUGGCGAAGGCGACUUCCUGGCCCAAUACUGACGCUGAGGUGCGAAAGCGUGGGGAGCGAACAGGAUUAGAAACCCUAGUAGUCC
rnacentral:rRNA from 1 species